CCUACGGGAUGCACCAGUGGGGAAUUUUGGACAAUGGGCGCAAGCCUGAUCCAGCAAUGCCGCGUGAGUGAAGAAGGCCAUCGGGUUGUAAAGCUCUUUUGUCAGGGAAGAAACGGCUGAGGAUAAUACCUUCGGCUAAUGACGGUACCUGAAGAAUAAGCACCGGCUAACUACGUGCCAGCAGCCGCGGUAAUACGUAGGGUGCAAGCGUUAAUCGGAAUUACUGGGCGUAAAGCGUGCGCAGGCGGUUUUGUAAGUCUGACGUGAAAUCCCCGGGCUCAACCUGGGAAUUGCGUUGGAGACUGCAAGGCUGGAGUCUGGCAGAGGGGGGUAGAAUUCCACGUGUAGCAGUGAAAUGCGUAGAGAUGUGGAGGAACACCGAUGGCGAAGGCAGCCCCCUGGGUCAAGACUGACGCUCAUGCACGAAAGCGUGGGGAGCAAACAGGAUUAGAUACCCUAGUAGUC
rnacentral:rRNA from 1 species